rnacentral:rRNA from 1 species
UCGUUGUAGCAAUACGAUGGAAAGUCUAGUGGCGAACGGGUGCUUAACACGUGGGCAACCUGCCAAGAAGUGGGGGAUAGCUCGCCGAAAGGCGGAUUAAUACCGCAUGUGAUUAGAGAGGACAUCCUUUCGAAAUUAAAGUCGGGGCAACCUGACGCUUCUUGUGGGGCCCGCGGCCUAUCAGCUAGUUGGUGGGGUAACGGCUCACCAAGGCUUUGACGGGUAGCUGGUCUGAGAGGACGACCAGCCACACUGGGACUGAGACACGGCCCAGACACCUACGGGUGGCAGCAGUCGAGAAUUUUUGACAAUGGGGGAAACCCUGAUCGAGCGACGCCGCGUGGAGGAUGAAGGUCUUCGGAUUGUAAACUCCUGUCAUUGGGGAACAAUGCGCAUAUAUUAACUGUAUUUGUGUUGAUAGUACCCGAAGAGGAAGAGACGGCUAACUCUGUGCCAGCAGCCGCGGUAAUACAGAGGUCUCAAGCGUUGUUCGGAUUCAUUGGGCGUAAAGGGUGCGUAGGCGGCGCGGUAAGUCGGGUGUGAAAUCUCGGAGCUUAACUCCGAAACUGCAUUCGAUACUGCCGUGCUUGAGGACUGGAGAGGAGACUGGAAUUCUCGGUGUAGCA